CAGUGAUGAUUUGCCAGCUCAUGGUGCCUGACGCACGGCCGAGCCGUGCUGUGCUGGCGUUAGCUGGCUUUACACCUGCUGCAUAAUUGCGCUCUCGCUCGCUUCAAGAUCGGGCAUGUGAGCUUCAGGCUGGGAACAGCUCCACUGGAGCAAAAAAUCCGGUUAAAGGGAGAAGCAGAGCGGGCGGUGAGCUGCUGAGUCACUCCCCAGCCCUCCUCGGGUAGCCUGACACCAAGGCAGAGGAUCAAAGCUUUAGGCCGGGGUCUAAGAUCGUCUGUCCAAGGGGAAAAAGCUCCACGUGUGUCCAAAGCCUAGAGAAGUCAGUGGAAAUACUCCCAUCCACUGUGACUCAGGUGCUCAGAGAGAACAUUCUUGGAUCUCUUCUUCUGAUCAGAGCUGGGAGGAUUUUCUGGCAAGGCCUGUUUCACUGCCUUUUCACCUGGAUCCAGGGCAACAAAGAGACCAGUGCUGUUUGCCACCUCCAUUUCUCUGAAAGGUGUAAGACAGAGAACACAAAGGUGUUGGCCAAGAUGAAAGAAGGACUCCUGUUGUUGGAUCCCUUGUUUAUUGUUGGGCUCACAGGUGCUGCUACAUGAUUGUGCUUUUUCACCAGGGAGAAUCCCACUGCUCCAAGUGAGUUGAACCAGAAUUUCAUUUUGCUGAACUGGCCUGAUUUGGGAUGCAAACCACCUCUGAAAGGCUGAGAUUUCCCAUGGGAGCGGAAAUUUUCCGAAUUUUGCUCAUCUCUGGUUACUGCUUGCACAGAAAUGGCCUAAAGCAAACAAACAGCCCUCUCCUGGAGCAGCCAGCAGAGCAGCCUGGAAAGUAGGUUAAUUUGGAUGGGGUUCCUGGGUGGCAGCUCCUCGUCCUCUCUCCUGCCUGGGGAAACCUGUGCAGUGAUCAGAUCUGCAGACAGGGCAGUGACAAGCCUCCCUUCAAGGCAAAAAUAAACUUGCAGGUUUAUAAACUCAGAGAUCCUUCCCUACAGGAAUCAUUCCCACCCCAGGGCAGGCUGGUGUGGCUCGACACAGCUCUGCUGGCCUCAACAGAGCACCCCAGGAAAAGGAUCACCUCAUUCUAGAUGUGAAAAUAUUCCAUUUUAGA